AGCAGCCGCGGUAAUUCCAGCUCCAAUAGCGUAUAUUAAAGUUGUUGCAGUUAAAAAGCUCGUAGUUGAAUUUUAGGCCUGGCCGGGCGGUCCGUCUUUGGCGAGUACUGUCUGUUGUUAGGUCUUCCUUCUGGUGAACCAGUAUGUCCUUUAUUGGGUGUGUUGGGGAGCCAGGACCAUUACCUUGAAAAAAUUAGAGUGUUUAAAGCGGGCUAUUGCUUGAAUAGAUUAGCAUGGAAUAAUAGAAUAGGACGUUGUGGUUCUAUUUUGUUGGUUUCUAGGACCACCGUAAUGAUUAAUAGGGAUAGUUGGGGGCAUUAGUAUUCAAUUGUCAGAGGUGAAAUUCUUGGAUUUAUUGAAGACUAACUAUUGCGAAAGCAUUUGCCAAGGAUGUUUU
rnacentral:rRNA from 1 species